UUUUUUUCAUGGCUGUGCCGUGAGAGGGGGUUAGGAGAGGUUUGACAGCGGGGGUGGCGGGGAAGCGGGAAAACGAGGCAGGUGUCCGUCAGGGAUCCUGAGGAGGGAGUUCUGUGGUGGAGCGGCUGGCCCGCCGUCCGUAAGGAAUUAUGUUUGCUGAUGUAAAAUAUAAGCAGCCAAGAAGUUGUUUUACGACAUUAAGGAGGUGCACCGAAAUUUAAAUUUGCGGUAAUGUGAGCCUUCCGAUACUGUGUGUCAGUCACGGCUGCCUGACUGGAGAUCCAGGUAAUCCUAGGCAGGAAGGCAUGGUGGGAGAAGCAAACCAACAGCAGACGCAAAGAGGCUGCUCAGGUUUGGGGUUUCUUAGUAUUGUAAUGGGGUUUCUUCUUAUUGUAAUGCCAUAGUUUCCAAUUUCUGUGGCAGAUGUUUCCACAAAGAUAAAUAACGUACGGAUUCUCAACAAAGAGCCUUUAUGUGGCCACAGGUUGCAUCAGCUGUGUGGUGCCUGAAAAUGAAGCGGACUGGUGAGCCGCUUCCAGAGCUGACGGCGUGACUCAUUGUGUUUGUGCACCAUCAGUAUUGGAGCAGACAGGAAUCAUCAUGGGAAGCUGAUUGCAGGCAGGAGUGAGUCAAAAGAGGGCCUCCUUCCCCUGAGCUAAACAUGCAGGGACAGUUCAAAACUUGUCUCAGCGAGAAGUUGCCCUACUGCAGGAAUUUUUGUUUUGAAUGAAAGAAGCACUUAUUUAAUUUAGGGGAGGCAUGAUUACUUAAAGCGGCAUAUAAAAACAUAUUUGAUCCUCUGACUAACUUCACAGUUAUUCUAAUGUUGUCUUGCAAAACUUAAGCCCUUUCUGUCAUCAUUUUAAAGCUAGUUUAAUAUUUGUGGAUCACAAGAAUGGAUAUGGAGGAUUAAAUACACUAUCAGGUUCUGCCUGCGAAGCUAGCUGACGGGGCAUGUUAUGACAGACAGAGGCCCUGUCUCCACACGAAAUCUCUUGGAGUAAAGUGUUAUAUUUAGAAAAAACGUGUCUGUAUUCCAGCUCUGCACCCUGAAAAAUCUAGAGCUUAGAGCACCCGAUAUCUACACAGAGAAAAUCUGUAUAUUUUAAUAUGCAUUCAGCCUAGCUACCAUGAAACUUUUCCAAGCGUAAAGAUAGUUAUAAGCCUGAACAGCUCUUAGGUGAGGAAGCAUAUUGGCAACAGAUAGAUUUCAGGGAGGGUAUCAAGCAAAGUAAAGAUGGGCAGCCAAAUCCUAAAAGGCAUUAUUGAAUAAAGGAAGAUAGGCAUUUUCAGUGAGCUGAACACCUUACUCUUGCCAGUGAUUUACAUAGAGGGCAAAUCUCAACAUUGAGCAGGAAGGAAUGGGGAAGAAACUCCACAUGUUGAAACUCAUGUCCACAUACAGAGCAUGUAAGUGUAAUCCAUAAGGGAGCAGUAACUGUGAACUUAAUUGAACUCUGCUUUUAUUUGGAGCCAAGCCAGCCUCCUUUCCAGCUUCUGCAGUCUUACACAUGCCAGUAUCUUAAAUGAUGAACCUGAGACAGAACCCAUGACAUCACAAGCUAAUCCUGCUUUUGGAGAACUGCUGCGAAGAUCACAAAAAUACUAUCUUGCUGACUGCAGCAGGAAGCUUUGCUUGGUAUUCUGGUAGAGAACACUGAGAAUGAAGAAGCGUCUUGCACUUCUCACCUCUAGUAAUGGAUUUUCCAUUUUUCCAGUGUUAGAGCACUGUCACUGACUCCUGAGGUUUUCAUCUAAGGAGAAACUGGAGUUACUGAGACACUGGUUUCCCUAGUGCCUGUGUCAAAGAUCAAAGCCAUUAAUUUUUAAGAAAAGUUUCUAUUAUUGGAAGUAUUUCAUUACAAUAUUAAACCCCCCUAUUUCUCCA